UCCAUUAGGGUUUCUUAAUAGGCUAACAUCUCUACCCAUGGGGGUCUUAACGGGAAAAAUAUUCCCCCAUCAGGUGAGCUGGGUUCGGGGGCGUUCCCAAGCUCCCCGUACCCGAAUCCCCACGGGGGCCCUGUAUAGCACAUCCUACAUUCCUACUACCUCAUGGCCCAUAGAAAAUAAAAGCCCAGCUGCUAUAGGCCCAUCACUCGUUCACAUAUAUACACGCCAAAACCCUAGGUCCCAAGCGCACGGAGAAGAAUCCUCGCCGCUUCGCUCCCAUCCACAUCCAUGCCCUACCUCGCCGCCUAAAGUCCAAGCCGAAUGGCCGACACGGCGACACCAGAUCGACGGCCGACGCCUCCACGAGACCACGACAAGGGAUCCAGGCCGCAGUCGUCGCCGCAUGCUUCCAGGAGUCAAGGGAACCAGGUCCGCAUGUUCGAGGCAAGGUUCCACUGUGAAACUUCCAUACGGCCGAGAAGACGAGACAUCUAACAUCUUGGCUCCAUGUCCAGGACGAAAUCCAAGUGCCGAGUGCCGACGCAUCACCAACCAACCAGCUAGAUGAUUUGUACCUGUGAAUGACACGGAAGCUUGACGUUGUUUUCAGGCACUGAAGUUGAAAUCUGUUUGUUGUUCCUAUUCUUUGGGUCAAUUUUGUGUUUCAUCAGCCGAUUUGAUGAUGGUCUCA